UACAGAGGUCUCAAGCGUUGUUCGGAUUCAUUGGGCGUAAAGGGUGCGUAGGUGGCGCGGUAAGUCGGAUGUGAAAUCUCGGAGCUUAACUCCGAAAUUGCAUUCGAUACUGCCGUGCUUGAGGACUGGAGAGGAGACUGGAAUUCAUGGUGUAGCAGUGAAAUGCGUAGAGAUCAUGAGGAAGACCAGUGGCGAAGGCGGGUCUCUGGACAGUUCCUGACACUGAGGCACGAAGGCCAGGGGAGCAAACGGG
rnacentral:rRNA from 1 species